UACGGAGGGUGCAAGCGUUAUCCGGAUUCACUGGGUUUAAAGGGUGCGUAGGUGGACAUUUAAGUCAGUGGUGAAAUCUCUGGGCUUAACCCGGAAACUGCCAUUGAUACUAUUUGUCUUGAAUUCUCUGGAGGUAAGCGGAAUAUGUCAUGUAGCGGUGAAAUGCUUAGAUAUGACAUAGAACACCCAUUGCGAAGGCAGCUUACUACGGAGACAUUGACACUGAGGCACGAAAGCGUGGGGAUCAAACAGG
rnacentral:rRNA from 1 species